rnacentral:rRNA from 1 species
GACGAACGCUGGCGGCGUGCCUAAUACAUGCAAGUAGAACGCACAGUUUAUACCGUAGCUUGCUACACCAUAGACUGUGAGUUGCGAACGGGUGAGUAACGCGUAGGUAACCUGCCUGGUAGCGGGGGAUAACUAUUGGAAACGAUAGCUAAUACCGCAUAAUAUUAAUUAUUGCAUGAUAAUUAAUUGAAAGGUGCAAUUGCACCACUACCAGAUGGACCUGCGUUGUAUUAGCUAGUAGGUGAGGUAACGGCUCACCUAGGCGACGAUACAUAGCCGACCUGAGAGGGUGAUCGGCCACACUGGGACUGAGACACGGCCCAGACUCCUACGAGAGGCAGCAGUAGGGAAUCUUCGGCAAUGGACGAAAGUCUGACCGAGCAACGCCGCGUGAGUGAAGAAGGUUUUCGGAUCGUAAAGCUCUGUUGUAAGAGAAGAACGGGUGUGAGAGUGGAAAGUUCACACUGUGACGGUAUCUGACCAGAAAGGGACGGCUAACUACGUG